ACAAUAUAAUUAUGAUUAUAUUAUAUUAGAGUCUACUUAAAGCUUUUUAUAUUUGUCUCUCUCUGUCACACACACACACACACACACACACACACACUGUACUACCGCGUUGUUCUGCAUCCAUCUCUUCCAUCUCUUCCCAGCCCUUGACAUUUAGCAGCCCGCCUCCCGAGUCCCAACACACACACACACACACACACACACACGAAAUAGUGAAGCUACCACCAUAAUUCGUUGCCUUAUUUAAAUCAAGACGAGUAAAAAAUUAGUACUCUCAAAUUCCUAAUUCGUUGCCAUGAUAUAUUUAUCUGCAUGCUGUGUGCAUUAAUGUGAGGAAAUGGCUAUGAGAGUAAGGUCAUGCAGGAUGUUUUAAUGUUUUUGAUAUGAUUUGGUAUGUGUGAAAUUAAUAAUGUGAAUGCAAAUUAAUCAACUUUUAAUUUAACAGUAUUUGCUGUUUACUGAUUGUUUGUUUUCUCUUUUCUUAAUUUCAGAAUAUUUCUCAAAUGCAAACUGCAUACUCCUUUGUGGCCUCAUUGCUGUAAACCGGACAAAGAGAGAGACCGAACACACUGAAUUGUUCUCCUUAAGUCCACACAGGGGGUCACACCAUUGAGAAAAGACGAGAUGCCGUGAUCCGCAGUCUCAUUGAAUAUCUUAGUGAGGUGGAGGAGAAUCUUUUCAAAGACGGCAGUGAUGACGAUCAAGAAAACUUCACGGAAGAUGUCCUGAUGAUUCUUGUCCAUGGAAACGGAGACGGAGAGCCAGUGGUGUCCAUUGUGCUUGAAGGAAGCAAGGUCCUAACUAAAUGCGGAAAUACUGCAAAAGCUUGUGCUCUCCUGAUGGGACUGGUAUAUGCCUUAAAUCUUCAGUAUCCCUCCAAGCUGAAGUACACUUUUGAGGUUUUCCAGAAACUGUUUCUGGAUCUUGAUGGUCUGAAGCUCUCUCCUAAAGUACGAUCUUUGAAAAAUAAGCUGCUUGCUUGAAAUAUUUCCAUGGAUGUUCAUAGGCAUUGAUCUGCCUUGUUGACUCUUGCUCCAAAAUGUUCAUUGUGUGCAACCUUUACAUUUAUAUUUUUAUUUGUUGUUAACAUAACAGAUGUGCAUUCAACUGAGUUGAUAAUGGUUGCCUCAUUUGAUAACUGUUUUGUACAAAUGUUUUUAUAUUUACAAUUUGCAGGAUUUGUAUUUCAGAUUUUUUAUUAGCUUAAAAAGGCUUU